UAUGGCUAUAUGCCCCCAGUUCCCCAUUAUCAACAACAGUACCCACCACCACCAUAUAAUGCUCCGAUGCCUCCAUCCCACCCACCAGCUGUAAAUCAUCCUUAUCAGCAUUCCAUGCAGCCAGGGUCUUCACAGGCAGGGUCUGCUCAGGGUGGCUCUGCACCUGCCGAAGCCGGAACAUCGUCAUCAGGGUCACAGCAGCAGUGAAAUUUUCCAUAAACUAAUGUUAGUAGCCAUGUUUAACUUUUGUGCGAAGUUUAUCCUUAGAAGGACCAUGCUGACAGGGAAGAUAUCUUGGCUCAAGUAGUCAAUUUACUAUCUCAACCUCAAUUUUAUAUUGAUUUGUAUUGUGCCUUGAACAGGUUCUUUUAUGAUUUGUUUGUGUUUUGUGCUUCUUACCUUCCCGAUUAGAUCAUACUUGGCACUAAAUUAUUAAUCAUGUUAGAGCUUAUUGUUUUAUUUAGUAAACAUUAGGUAAUUUUUUCUGUUAAAAAUCAAGAACAAGUUGGUUAAGAAAGAAGAAUUGAAUUAUUUUUUUUCCUCGAGUUCAUCAAUAAAUUUUGUACAAAAGAAUUUUUAUACAUUACAGUUUCAUUUUUUGUGUAGUACAUGAACUAAAUUCUUUACCUCAUCAAUGGUGAAUUGGUACGAAAUUCUUCAAGAGAUUUAUGUAACUUACACUAAAAUGUGGUUAAUCCCUGAUUUUAUGACUUAUGGGAUGAUGAUUGCGUGGGAACCUGAUCCUUUAUCUUUGACUUUUGGUUCCUUCACCUUCUUAACCAUGUUUUCCAGUUUAUUUCUUCAGUUUAUUAAGAAUAUAUAUAUAUAUAUACAUAUAUAUAUAUAUACAUAUAUACAUAUAUAUACAUAUAUACAUAUAUAUAUAUACAUAUAUAUAUAUAUAUACAUAUAUACAUAUAUAUAUAUACAUAUAUAUAUAUAUAUACAUAUAUACAUAUAUAUAUAUACAUAUAUAUAUAUAUAUACAUAUAUACAUAUAUAUAUAUACAUAUAUAUAUAUAUAUACAUAUUUUUGGAGGACAAUGAUUUACAAUUUCCAGUAUAUUUUCUACUUUUGAUUUGCACUUAUAAUUUUAUCAUAUUUUAUAUAUGUAUCCUUGAAUGUAUCGUAUCCUAUAUUUUAGAAAAAAUGUGUGUCGAUGUAUCGGAUACGUAUUGUAUCCGACAUAUGUAUCUGUACUCAUGCUUUAUAGCUUGCAGCCAUUUUACUUGCAUGUGGGCUUAUUUUUAGUUUCCUGAUGUAUGUGAGUACACUGGUAGUCAUGUAUUUAUUUUGUUUUUGGUUUUCAGUGAAAUGAAAGCCCGCCAUGUAUAUAUGGUUCUUAUUUAGCCGGUAAUUUUGUUUUCUCUUAGUAACCUUUUGUUUGUGCCUUGCUACUUGCAUCCACAUGUUAAUCUGUAGGAAGAGAUGUUUUUUUUAUCAUGGGGUGAGGGGAUAUGCCUUGAAAGUAUUGUACCAUCAAUCCUAACAUCCAAAAAUGAUGUAACAGAGUAUCAAUAGCCACUAAAGAUGUAUCAAACUUAUUGUGGGGAUAACCUGUCAUGUAUACUACAUUUAUCCUAUUUUUGAUCUCAUAUAAACCUGUGUCCUCCUGAUUUUUAAUUAGCUUCUCAAUUUCAUAGUGACUGUAGAUGCUGGUAAUAUUUGCUUUUGUUGGUAACAUUUUUGAUACUGCUUCAUGCUUUUAGCUCGAUUGUCUUUUUAAGAAAAAUAAUGUUUGCAAACCUGCAGGGUGAAUGAUCCAGUGGCAUUAAAGCUACUUGGCAAGGCAGGAGAGAUGCCCUCUCUGGAGGCUCCUGAAGAUGAGAGCAUUAAAACUCUUUAUGUUGGUGGACUUGAUGCAAGGGUCACUGAGCAGGAUUUGCGGGAUAACUUCUAUGCCCAUGGUGAAAUUGAAUCCAUCAAAAUGGUUCUUCAACGGGCUUGUGCUUUUGUGACCUAUACAACCAGAGAAGCCGCCGAAAAGGCAGCAGAAGAACUCUCAAACAAACUGGUUAUUAAGGGCCUAAGGCUAAAGCUGAUGUGGGGUAGGCCUCAGUCGGCGAAACCUGAGUCGGAUGACUCCAACCAAGCAAGGCAGCAGGCUUCUGUGGCUCAUAGCGGGUUGUUGCCUAGAGCGAUUAUAUCACAGCAGCAAAGCCAGGACCAGAACCAAGGAAUGGUUUACUAUAGCAAUCCACCUCCUCAACCGCAAAGAAGCUAUUACCCAUCAAUGGAUCCUCAAAGAAUGGGUGCUCUUAUUCCUUCUCAAGAGGGUCCUCCUGGGGGACCUUCCGGGUCUGGGGAGAACAAACCCAUUAUGGAGAAGCAGCAAAUGCAACAUUAUGCCCAUCCAAUGAGGCCUCCACCACCAGGCCAAUAUCAACAUCAGUAUUAUCCUCCAUAUGGCUAUAUGCCCCCAGUUCCCCAUUAUCAACAACAGUACCCACCACCACCAUAUAAUGCUCCGAUGCCUCCAUCCCACCCACCAGCUGUAAAUCAUCCUUAUCAGCAUUCCAUGCAGCCAGGGUCUUCACAGGCAGGGUCUGCUCAGGGUGGCUCUGCACCUGCCGAAGCCGGAACAUCGUCAUCAGGGUCACAGCAGCAGUGAAAUUUUCCAUAAACUAAUGUUAGUAGCCA
rnacentral:lncRNA from 1 species